CACCUGCAACAGUUUCUACGAUUUUCUUUUCAAUCUGUACACGGCGUUCGAUAUAUGCUUCCGUAUCCGGUCAGCUGUAAUGGAUGCCGUAUGCCGAGCUUGCGAACUGCGAACUUGUGUGACUCCCGGUUCAUCCUCUUUGUUCGGGUCAUUGGGUUGGUGUUGGUCACCAUAUUCUGAACGUUUCACCUAUCGUUGCGGUGUACUGUUCUUGAUCUGCUGCGAAGCGACGAACCGCAACGGCAGUCACUCGCCUCAGCGAACUUCUGUCUGCUGCAUCUCAAAGGAGCAUGGGGACCUGAUAAUACCUUCAACUAAAGAAACCAAAUGUGCUCUCGUGUGGUCCUGACGGAAAAGUAGUAUCAACAAGAACCCUCCACUUUUUCGACCAAGUUAUCGUUAUGAGAUCCUUCUGAUGGCUUCUUACUAGGCUAUGCCGCUCCGAAGCAUUGAGAUGACGAAGCGUCGUGGUAGCUGCACCUCUGCCUUCGAAAGAUGAAUCAGUCAUUCCACACUGUGCUUACUGGCUUUGUGUAGAGUCUGGCAAAUCCGACAGACUUGGACUGCCUUUUUCAAGAAAGUUUGAAAUAGCAUCCCUUAUGCACCUGCAUUUCAAUUCCAAUCUGUAUUACAAGAAUGACAGACCACUCAACAGAGAUGAACAUCUGAAAGUGAAAGAGCUGGAAUGAAGAUACGUUAAUCUGUGUCAAAGGUUCUUGGUAUGUGUGCGAGUCGAGGACAUAGGUCUCAAGCUUAUUCCUGUCUUCAGAAGAGGUGACAACUAUGCUCCUUCUAUCUAUUAACCAGCUCCACUUUUUAGGGUUCCCUGUAAACUAAUGGAGCACAUCAUGUACUACCACGUUGUCAACUAAGUUGACUCUGUCAAUUUCUUUUUUUAAAUUCCAGCAUGGCUUUAGAAAAGGGUAUUCAGGCAAAACUAACGUAGUGGAAUUCGUUCACAGCAUUUCAAACUGUCUUGAUUUCUGGGUCCAUGUAGAUGUAGUAUUCUUUUUAUUUUGUAAGGGCUUUUGACACUGUGCUCUACGCUCGCGUGUUGGCCAAAGUAGCCUAAUUAAAAUUUGAUCCUGCUACCUGGAUAUGCAGUUUCUCAACUAACCGUAACUGUGGCGACAACUCGUGAGGAGAACCUAUCAUAUCGCCACCAUGCAGCAUUUGUUAUAUUACAAUCGCUUCACAUUUUAAUCUAGUCAAAAGCAAGGCCUUUUGGUGAUCGGUCUUGUAUAAUUACAUGCCCAUCCGUUAUGUAACACCACACUGGGUUCUUCAACCUAUGAGAGAGAAAUAAAUAUAUUGCCAAGUAAAUUGUCUACAAGGCUCGUUAUUCCAUUUCGCCACACUACCACAAGCAAUUGUUAGAGUAGUGGCCCAGGGUAUGAAGCUCGCCACUAAUCAUCAUUCAAACAAAGUUCAUAAUGUAAAA